UCCUUUUUCUAAAGAAGAUGCCUUGUUUUCUUGUCUGUGUAACAAAAUCCCUGACUGUUUCCUUGAACAGCCCCAGCACUGGGUGCCUGGAGGAAGGGCGGUGAGCUUGGCCAGGACGUGUGGCUGCAUGCUGCUGCUGCCUGCCUGUAGGGCACCCUGUACCCGAGGUCUGAGCACCUGGAAAGUGGCACAUUGCACAUGCCAGGCAGAGCUUUGUUGACACAUUUCUAUUUGUGGAUAUUUCUCUUUCAAGAGCAAUAAUGGAGAUGAGGAACCAUAACAAGAGCCAGCUGCUAUGAGAUUUGGAAAGACACGAAGAUCAAGGACAAGUCAUUCUAUCUCUGUGAACAAAUGAUGAGCAGAGGUAAAUAUGUAAUAACAGAAAUUCAAUUUUUAAAUGAACCAAAUGAUAAAGACAAAAAUACAACUUUA